AAGACUAUAGACCUGCGGAGUACCUGCGGAAGGAUCAUUAGUGAACGCCCUCACGGGCUUAUAACUAUUCCAAACCUCUGUGAACCGUGCCCUUCGGGGCUAUUUUACAAACAUGGUGUAAUGAACGUCAUAUAACAUAACAAAACAAAACUUUCAACAACGGAUCUCU
rnacentral:misc_RNA from 1 species